CCCAUAAGGCAACCCAAAACGAAAAAUACCCAACAUCUUCUUGGGGAACCCUUGGACAGACCUAAGCUGGAUCAACAACGGAUACCAAAAGAGAAGCCAACACCGCUAGCCCCCAGCCUUAUUCCUAUCGCCGCCAUUCACCCUUAAGCUUCAAUACAUAUCAACCUGGCACACCCUCAUCUUCUUUACCCUCAUCUCCACCAAACACCAGCCGCCCAUCAUAGCCACCGACCUUAAUCCAUCUCACAACUACCGAAACACAAUAGCACCGCACCCUCCCUUUUGAAAUCUGCUUCAAACAUCCCCCUAGGAGUCACUCGUCCACCCUAAAGAAGACUCAUCAGAGAACCCAUUUUUUGCUUUUAAACUUUGUUUUGUUCUCAACUAAAAAAUAUAUACGCAUGAAUAGACAUAGCAGAACAAGGAGGUAGCGAGGUAAUAUGGUCAUGAUUCGACGAGGAUUCCGGUGAGGUUUUCCGGUUUAGAUCUUGUUCGUUGUCUUGUUCAUUCCAUUGCUUAGCAUUGUCAAACUGUCAAGCCGUAGAAUUCCGGAUCUGUUCAGGGUCUAUUCCUCUCUCUUUUUCUAUUUUAGCUAAAUUUAAUGCUUCCAGUAAACUUGUUAAUCUUUCUUUGAUCUGUUUUGUUGAUAUUUGAAUUAAUGUUUCGUUUUUGCACAUAACGCCUUCGUAGAAUUAAUUUUGCAUUUUUAUGCUUCUUUUAAUUAUUGUUUGUGUGUUUCUUUCAUGUAAUUUUAUUUUCGGAGGAAUUCUUAAUAGCUAAUGUAAAUUUGGAGUUCCGUUUGCAAUGUGUCAUUAAAAGAUAAAGGUUUCGAGGCUUUAGGAUUGAUAAUAUAGUGAUAGAAAAUUAAUUUAACAAAGUUGAGUAGGUUGUAUGGUUGCUUGGAUGUUCGAAAAGUCCUAUGACGUGGGAAUGGGAAAGGCCAAUCAUAAUUAAAUUGCUACAUGCUUUAAUUUUUUAUUUUGCCUUGUUAUAUUAAUCGCUAGUAGCAUGCUUAGGCCGUAAACAUUUAGGAGGCCAUCUUUUAGUAUUUUUGUUUGAUCCGAGGUGAGAGGUCAUUCCCUUUUAGUUUAUAUCCAGGGGAAUGCCCCGUAGACCUUGUAUAUAUUUAUCCGGAAUAUGACCCGUAGUAUUUGUAUUUGGAGACCGAAAGUAAAACUUGUAGUAUUGUUUUUAGUUUAUAUCCAGAGGAAUGCCCCGUAGACCUUGUAUAUAUUUAUCCGGGGUAUGACCCGUAGUAUUUGUAUUUGGAGACCGAAAGUAAAACUUGUAGUAUUGUUUUUUUAUUUUUAUUUUUUCUUUAUUAUAUGGGGACGACCUCGCGCACUUUUGUGUUUCUAUUUUUCCAUAUUUAUUUUUACCUCAAUUUGAAUAUUUUAAAUGCCAACUAGAUCAUGUACGCAACCAUUACCUUCACGAGACUUGGGGAGUGCCUAAUACCUUCUAUCUGAUUCUUAUAUGUGCUAACCCGCAUAGGCACCGUAAGACGACGGUGAGUUGAGAAAAAAGCAAAAUGAGAGAGGCUUGAUGGUGAAAAUCCAUCAUGGCACUACAAGUCGACUGAGGAUUGUGGAUCAAAUGAGACUAUUGGAGCGCUGAAGCCUAGUUUCACAAAUUAGAAACAUAGCAAGAGUUGAAGAUUAGACUUACUUGACAGAUCAGGC
rnacentral:lncRNA from 1 species